rnacentral:ncRNA from 1 species
AAUUAACUUGGUUCUGAUUAACCAGAUUAGUUAUUCUUAUAUAUUUACAUGGUAGUUAAUACGCGACCUAUGAGACGCAAAAUAUUUUAACAAUCUAUUCACUUCAAAGCUUAUAAGCACACCACUCCCCAGCUCAUAACCCCAGUAUAUUACAUUAUUAUAAACGAAAGUUUGACCUAGCAAUAGAAAAGGAAAGGCUAAGGUUGUGCCAGCAGUCGCGGUUACACAACAUUCCAAACUAAUCUCCCCUGAGUUCAAAAUGUUCAUAAUACUUAAAUCCCCGGAACAUAAAACCCUAUUAAGAAGUUAAAUUUGAAGAUAGGCCAAUAACUAAAAGUUCCCCCGCUUUGCCUGAACAAAACUAACCUAAAAACUGGGAUUAGAUACCCACUAUUCUACUGCACCUAUAAUUUUAUUUACUAAGGAACUAUGAGCAAAUAGCUUCAAAACUAAAGAACUUGGCGGUACUUUAUCCUCUUAGGGGAACCUGUCCUGUCAUUGACAAUCCACAAUUAAUCUUACCGGCCUUAGUCAUUUAUAUCAUCAGCCUGCAUAUCGUUGUCACCAGCCCAUCUUUAAGAGAAAAAAAUAGAAGCCUCCCAAACCCUACUUACAAUGUCAGAUCAAGAUACAGCUAAUAAGCAGGUCAGCGAUGGGUUACAAUACACACUUUCGUUAUUGGAUCUUUUAACCUAGAAAGUUUAAGCGAACUUAAAGUAAUCUUGCCAAUAACAUAGCAUCAUGAACAGGCCCUAAAAUGUGCACAUAUCGCCCGUCGCUCUUAAUUCACCACUAAGAUAAGUCGUAACAUAGUAGAUGUAGCGGAAGCUGCCUCUGCUCCAUA